rnacentral:pre_miRNA from 1 species
GGGUGGAAGGAACACAACGACGUCUUAAACACAGCUAACCACUUUAUUAGCUGUGCUUGAGACGUCGUCGUGUUUCUUCUACCCA